AUUGAACGCUGGCGGCAGGCUUAACACAUGCAAGUCGAGCGGGGAGAUGUAGCUUGCUACAUUUCCUAGCGGCGGACGGGUGAGUAAUGCUUAGGAAUCUGCCUAUUAGUGGGGGACAACGUUUCGAAAGGAACGCUAAUACCGCAUACGCCCUACGGGGGAAAGCAGGGGAUCUUCGGACCUUGCGCUAAUAGAUGAGCCUAAGUCAGAUUAGCUAGUUGGUGGGGUAAGGGCCUACCAAGGCGACGAUCUGUAGCGGGUCUGAGAGGAUGAUCCGCCACACUGGGACUGAGACACGGCCCAGACUCCUACGGGAGGCAGCAGUGGGGAAUAUUGGACAAUGGGGGGAACCCUGAUCCAGCCAUGCCGCGUGUGUGAAGAAGGCCUUUUGGUUGUAAAGCACUUUAAGCGAGGAGGAGGCUACUAGUACUAAUACUACUGGAUAGUGGACGUUACUCGCAGAAUAAGCACCGGCUAACUCUGUGCCAGCCGCCGCGGUAAUAC
rnacentral:rRNA from 1 species